CCUGGAGAUCGGAUGGUCGCUUGAAGCCUGCUUCAAGAGGAAAGUCCGGGCUCCUUGGAAGAAGGGUGCUGGAUAACGUCCAGCGGGAGUAAUCCUAGGGAAAGUGCCACAGAAAGUAAACCGCCGGCGAAAGCCGGUAAGGGUGAAAGGGUGCGGUAAGAGCGCACCGCGCUUCCCGUGAGGGAAGUGGCAGGGUAAACCCCACCCGGAGCAAGACCAAGUAGAAACAGCCGUUGCUUUGGGCAACAGACGGUCUUUCACGUUGCUGUUUGGGUCGGUCGCAUGAGGGUCUUGGCAACAAGGCCCCUAGAUGAAUGGCCAUCCCCAAGUAAUUGGGACAGAACCCGGCUUAUAGAUCUCCAGGCAAA
rnacentral:RNase_P_RNA from 1 species